UCAUGCCCUGUUCCAUUAUCUCCAUCUCUGUCUCUCUCCUCCUCCACCCUCCUCUUCUCUCCCCCUCAUCUUAGUUCCUCUGCCUCUCUCAUGCUAGGCCUUUCUGUCUGGGUACUCCUGGGGGGUUGUGAAUAAGUAAACAUUCAGAUGUCUACAACUGCAAUCACACACUGUUGCACAAACAUGUGUGCACAUCCAGCAAUGUCUAAAUGCCCCCAAAUGCACAGCCCUAAUAGGCAGAUACCCUUAUACAAUGCAAAACCACACAUAUGCCACAAAUGGUCUCAUACACACUAUAUCAUUGGGAUGGACACCCGGAUUAUUUAGGAACAGAUAGACAUACUGGAAGAAAACAUGCAAAGACACUCUGUCAUUAGUUUUGUUGUAAACAAGAACAACAAUACAACAACAGUAAGUCUUUAUGGAGCAGAAGCAGGUUAUUAGGCAACCCCUCCAGGCAUCCUUCUCACCCUUUACUUAUCAGGGAGACACUCAAACAUGACACUCUGAUAAACACAGUACACAAACAAACACACAUACACUCAUCUUGAAACAAAUCUCCCAGCUCCCUGCCCAUAAAAUGCACAGCUACGCAAUCAAAUGGCUACAGAUAUGACCAAAAUCUAUGUUGUGAAAUGGACUUCCAUGUUAUAGUAGGAAGAAUAACGAUCCCCCCAGAGAUGCCCAUGUUCUAAUUCCUGUGAACAUGUUACCUUAUGUGGCAGAGGGGAAUUAAGCUUGCAGAUGGAAUUAAGGUUGCUAAUCAGUUGAGUUUUAAGUCAUAAGAUUAUUCUAGAUUAUUCAAGGUCCUUAAAAGUGGAGGACAGGGCCUUCCCUGGCAGUCCAGUGAUUAAGGCUCCACACUUGCACUGCUGGGAAUGCGGGUUGGACACCUGGUCAGGGAACUAAGAAUUGGUAUGCAUUGUGGUGUGGCCAAAAAAGGUGGAGGACAGAAGCAGAAGAGGACGAUCUUCCUCUUUGGAUUAAAGAGUCAGGAGAGUACUCAGCCUGACACUGCUGGCUUUGAAGACUGAGGAUGGGGAGCCGUGAGCAAAGGAAGUAGGUGGCCACGAGACACCGGAGAAGGCAAGGAGAUGGAUUCCAGAUGGAGUCCAGCACUCUGACACCCUGUAAGACCCAUUUUAGGCUUCUGAACUACAGAACUAUAAGAUAACAAAUGUGUGUUGUUUCACAGAUUUCAAACAAAAGUUCGUGAUAAUUUGUCUUUAAAUUUAAUUAAAUUAAUUUACUUUUUGGUUGCACUCAGUCUUUGUUGCUGCGUGCCAGCUUUCUCUAGUUGCUGGUGAGCAGGGGUUACUCUCUUAUUGUAGAGCAUGGGCUCUAGAUCACAUGAGCUUCAGUGGUUCAGUAGUUUCACCGCCAGGAAAUGUCUCACUUUUCAAGACUUUAUCCCUUCCUUGCUAGAAUCUCCAACAACUCUAUACUUGAUCCUCUAAUUCUCCCUUGGUUUAUUCUAUUUUCAGAGAAGCGGUUGGACAGAGCUGAUUUUUGGUGUGUUGGCUUGGCUUGCUCUAGUUGACCAUGACUGCAUCCUGCCUCUUGGUUAGCACCACAUCUUCUUAAUACAGGUGUCUCCUACAUAACUCUACCUACCCCUUACCAACUCCAUCCAGGAUAUCUGCUUGUGAUGCCGCCAAAUGUUGUAGUUAGACACCCGUGCGUGGCAGUGAAGAUGCUAGAGGUGGGAAGGCCUUGCAUAAUUCUCUCAUUUCUUUUCCACCUCUUCCUUUUUUUCUUCUUUUGUUUAUUUUUCAGUCUAUCUCUUCCCAUGUCAGUACAUCCUAUCUUUUUUUUUUUUUUAUUGCUUUGCUAGGCAAAAGGAGACCCACCAGCUUCUGCCUUGAAAAACUAUGUAUCUCCAACAUCCCCAUGUUAUUAAAGAGCCUACAAGUCUUUAGGAGCCUUGGAGGGGAAGAGGCAGGUAUGAAAAGGUGUUUGGGAGACUGAUGACAAGCCAGCCAUGGCCCCUGCCCUUAGGAAGUAUGAUAAGUCAUCCUAUUUUCUGGAUGGCAACCCACUCCAGUAUUCUUGCCUGGACAAUCCCACGGACAGAGGAAACUUGUGGGCUACAGUGGGGGUUACAAGAGUCGGGGUCACAAGAGUCGGACACAACUGAGUGACUUUCACUUCACUUCACUAUUUCCUGGACAGAAUCAGAGACUCAACCAGUGAGAUGUGUGGAGUGUUGGAAGCAAGAAAUGAAAAGGUUUCUCAUGCAUCUGUGGGCCACAGUUUCCCAGUGGACCUGGCAAACCAUUUAGCCUCACUUCCCUGGACCCAGGAAGGGAUGAGGCUGGGAAGAGGGAGAAGAACUUGGACUGAAGCGGCUAAGGAGGCAUAAUUCUCUAGAAGAUGGAAAACUAACUGAUCUAAAUCUCUCAUUUUGUACAUGUUUGAGGGGGAGGGGAACUGUGCUGUGUGGCAUAUGGGAUCUUAGUUCCCUGACCAGGGAUCGAACUGGUGUCCCCUGCUUGGAAGAUGGAUUCUUAACCACUAGACUGCUAGGGAAGUCUUAAUCCCUCAUUUUGAACUGAGAAAUCUGAGACCUCUGCUCCUUCUGACUAAACUAGGUAAGAACCUGCAGAAACUGAAGGAACACACACAUCCUAUUUGGAAACAGUGGGGUAUUCAAGAUUUGAUUCAAGUCUUGUUCUUUUUGUGACUAUAAAGCAGGAACAACCAUACUUAUCUCAAAAAUUGUUUUAAGGAUCAAAGGAAAUAAUUUAUAUUAAUGUAUUCAUCAAAAGGCUAUUAAGCACCUACUGUGGCCAGGUACUGGUGGGAAGUGGGGACUCAGCAGAGAAUAAAGCAGAUAGGAAUCUGCCCCCAUGGGAAUUACAUUCUAAUGGGGAAAACAGACACAUACCAAAUAAGUGAAAAGUAUGAUAGGUAUCAUAAAACAACAUAAAGCUUGGAAGGAAGAUAGAGGUGUUAGAUAGAGUGAGUAGGGUUAUAACUGCACUAAAUAAUACUCAAGCAAGGAUUUGAAAUGGAUGAAAGAAUGAACCAAUUGCUUAUCUGGAGGGAGCAUGGUCCAGACUGAGGGAAAAUCAGGGGCAAAAGCCUAUGAUAUGUGAGAUUUAGCAUGAAGGCCAUGUGGCUGGGGCAGACAGAGCAGUGGGGAGAGUGGUAGGUAGGCAGAGAGGUGAUGGGCUGACUAUGUGUGGUCUUGAGGCCACUGUGAGGACUUUCUUUGGUACUGAGUGAGGUGAGCCUAGUAAGGAAUGAAGGUGAUGAGAAGGGGCUGACUUCUGGAUGUGAGCUGAUGGAGAGCUGAUAAGGUUGCUGCUGAGUUGCAUUUGGGGUAUGAGAGCAAAACAGGAGUCAGGAAUCUCCAAGAGAUUUGGCUUAAGUACCUUGGGAGGAUGGAACUGCCCUGGACAGAGGUAGGGAAGACUGUGAGGGGCCAGUUUGGGUGCAAAGUCAGGAGUUAAAUGGUGGGCAUGUAAAGCUGAGCUGCCUAUCAGAUAUUCAGUUGCUUCAGGGUGUUUUUUUGUCUUGUUUUAAUUUUUUAUUUAUGGCUGCACUGGGUCUUCAUUGCUGCAUGGGCUUUCUCUACUUGUAGUGAGCAGUGGGAGGGGGACUCUUCGUUGUGGUGCUCAGGCGUCUCAUUGUGGUGGCUUCUCUCAUUGCAGAGCACAGGCUCUAGGCAAGCGGCCUUCAGUAAUUGGGUCACAUGGGCCCAGUUGCCCCGUGGCAUGUGGAAUCUUCCCAAAACAGGGAACCCUUGUCCCCUGCAUUGGCAGGCAAAUUCUCAACCACUUGACCACCAGGGAAGUCCCCAAUUGCUUUGUGAACUGUGCAAUGUCCAUAGAAAUAAUCAAUAAUCAAUCUAUAAUAAAAAUAGAAGAGUUUUUAUUUGAGCCAGAUUGAGGACUACAGUCUGGGAAAUACAGACUCAAAAGCGUGGAUGACAAAUGGCAGAGGCUUAUAAAGGCAAAACCUCUAAGGUCACACAAGAUAUUUGUCAAGAAUUAGGAUUGAAGCUGGCAAGAAGGAUUGGUUGGGGUCCAAAAUGGUUGCAUAGUUGCAAGGGGAGACCUUCAGACCACAAGGUUAUACCUAACAGCUGCUAGCAGAUACUAUUUUGAAAAUGGCUGGUGUCCUUGACAUUGAUCCAGUUCAGAAAAUUCGAGUUCUUAGUAAUGCGGGAACCUCUUCGAAACAACAGCCAUAUUGGCCACCUGGUUCCAUUUUGAAUGCUUGAACCACAAUUACUCCAUUUUGUUUUUUAGAUACAUUCUUUUCUUUAAUGGUUAAAGCAGAUGCAUGCUCUACAGGUUGUAAGACUGGGUGUUCUAGUUAACAUGAGCUCAAGCAAAUCAUGCAUAAGCCAGAAUGACUUCCCCAUACCUCAACAAGGCCCAGGUAAGCGUAUGACAUUAUGAGCAGUAACAGCACCAAAAAGAAUAGUUCAUGGUUAUAUAGAAAUUUAUAAUCUUCAAAGCUUCUUAUUAUUUUUAUUUUUAAAAUUUCACUAACCACUCCAGGGGCGUUCGUAACAGUCAGCCACAGGGAAGAAACCAAGGCCCAGGCUUGCUUGCCCAAGGUCAAAGAUUGCAGAAGGCAGAGUCAGGGAGGGCUGGGUUCAAGUGCUUCUUCUCUCAACCUGACUCCUGACUCCCAGGGACAGAGAUACAAAGGGAGACACAAUGAGAGUCAGAGACAGGGACAGUGAGUCAGAGAGACCAAGUCAGAAACAUGAAAGCAAGCGUGAGGCAGAGCAGGGGCACCCUUGAGGGAAACAGUAAUACAGAGAAUGACCUAGAAAAGCCUAAUGAGCUGGAGAGCAGUUGAGAUGAGCCCCACGUGCCUCUCAGGUCUUGGUCCACAUGACAGACUCUCCCUCCCUCCCUUCCUUCUUCCCAGGUGAGGUGUCACCAAAACAUCGCUGGCAUGUUGCUGGCAUCCGGCCUGCCAAUUAGCUCGGGAGCCUCUCCCUUUGACUUCCUCCGGAGCUUCAGAUGUGCGCCUACUUCCUCCCUUACCCCCACACUCUCCUCCAGCCCAGUCCUGCCCUGCCCUGCAUCUUUGGGAGGCAAACUGGCUUCGAGGGACCUGCGGUCUCUGCGGCUCCCCACAGGAGUCAAGCCCCUCCCGGCGCAGAGCGUGGCAUCGCGCAUCCUUUUAUCUGCCACCUCUGUGCACCUUUGCGAGCGUCAACCGGCCACGCCCGGCGCCCCCGCCCCCAGGGGUGGUGUGUGUGGCCGAGAGGACAGGGAGGGGCUUCAAGGAAGUGGAGGAAAAGGCCCUCCACCAAGGCUCCUGGGAUGGCUCCGCGGAAGCUGUGAAGAUUCUUCUACAC